CUCACGAAGGAGGUAGGACUACGAUCAGACUUAAAUCUGCUGGAAGCAAACCAUUGCCUGUAAGGUAAAAAAUUGAGAAGUGUUAGAAAAGCCUCACACUGCUCCAACAUGCUGCACAUAAACACACAUGAGCCACAGUGCCUAAAAUUUCAUAUUAACCAAAGAUUCAACAAACAUUUAUCAAGGAAGAACUUUGUGUCUGGCACUGAUCUAGUGUUACAGAGCGUGUUAACUGAAUUCCUCACUGAAGACAUUUAUAUUCUAACAUGGAUGAAAAAAAUCUAUGUAUAAGAAAGUUGUUCUUAACCUGAAUUACACAAAGGAUCACUUGUGGGACUUUAGAAAAAUACAUAUUCCACAAUCGUAUCUUCUGAAUCUAAAUAGCCUGAGGUAGGCCCUGGGCAUCGAGAUGUAUAUAUAAUCUCUCCAGGGGAUUCUGAAGCACAGCAAUAUGAAAAUCCAGUCCAGACUACUGAGAUAAGCAUUGGCCUUUUCUUCUAAACACUAAUGACUCUAGAAGAUAAUAUGUGAAGAACCUACUACCGCAGUGUAAAUAAACUCACUAGAUGGCUAGCAAUAAAUGAUCCAGAACAAUAUGAGACUACUGGGCAAGAGAAGGCAUGAUUGAUUUAAGAUAAUGUACACGAAACUUGGUAGCAGACAUGAAAUCCCUUUGUAAACAUAAAAGAUUAUUACUCCUCAGUAGGUCACCAUUUUACAAGGCAGAUCAUUUCAUUUUAAGAGCUUCCAAAUACUGAGCCAACACAUGGUUUUUUUUGUAACUUUCUUCCAAUGUGUCUAGGUCUAUAGUUUUCAGUGCAUGCCUUCUCCCGAAGUCUUCAGGGUGAGACUCCACAAUGCCUUAGGUCUAGGACCAUAGCCCUCUGAAGUUCCUGAGCAAGUCUGGACCAAGGCUGAUCAAGAUCACUAGGCUUAGCACCAGAAGUAUUUGAGACUCUGGAAUUAAUUUUGCGGCCAUUACCGCGGGCUUCAGUGGGUUAUAAGCCCAGGGCAACUGCAUAUCUGUUACACUGCAGUGUUCCCUUUAAUUCCACCUGCUGCCAGCCCUGAGUCUAAUCCAUUCAACUGACUUCUGUCUGGGGUUCCUGUUCUCCACUAGAGCUCUCACAGGAACCCUAGCCUGUUUGGUUGAACUCUGAUACUCUGGCCAGCCAUUGCCACCUGCACACUUCAGGGCUGGUUUCCAUUCCCUAUACAUCUAGUCAGUGGCUGGGUGACAUUUCUUUACUAUUGACAUGCCCAAGCUGCUAUAUGGACUCCUGCCUUAGAUCAUUGAUUCUCAGAUGGGAUGGGUUCUGCCCCCAGUAGAAUGUUUCAGAAACUCUUGAUGAUAUAUUUGGUUGUCAUAACAGUAACAUCUGCCUCCUUCUACAGCAUCACCCCAUGUUUACUGGCAUUUAGAGUGUGGGGGCCAGAGAAAAAAGACAUCCCACAAUGAAUGCACUGCGUAAUCCACCCAAGGAUUAGUUGUACUGUGUUCUCGAACACUCACACAGAUGAAAAACCUCUCUGUUAGUAUCUGAGACUAGAAGCUAACUGUUUCACACAUAAUCUCAAAGUACUUUUUGCAGCAAGUUUUAAUAUGCAACUAAUUUUCCAGGACAGUCUCUAGCCUGUAAAUCAUGGGGAGGAAACUUUACCAAAAAUUGUUCACCACCCUGAAAAUCACUUCACCAACACUACAAUGACAUUCUUGCUACUUGAGUGACAAGUACAAAGCUCCUGUAACGCUCUGCAUUUGCAGUUUCCAUUCUUCAUGUAGCUACAAGCAUCUGACUACUUUAUUAUGUCUUUUAGUGUAACCAAGCUCAAGCCCUUAGGUAUUAACUACAUAUUAUGUUACUUUUAAUUAUUUUACACUUUUAAACCUUUAUAUAAAAAUUAGGGCAUUAUAUUAAUUUAUUUUCUAUGUGAAAUUAAGUAUGUAGAGAUACUGUAUUACCUACAAAUUAUAUUAUCUGUGAGAGUAAGAAGGGCACUACAAAAUGUCUGUUGGGAAGAGGGGAUAUUAGGUCUGAUAGGUUUAAGCUCAGUAUUAGUAUUUAUUGAGAAUAAAGUGAAUAUUCUCAAUAAACCCUGUAGAUACCAGCCAUAUCCUUUCAUGGCUUGGCCCUUACAGCUGCAUCAGUUCCUGCACUUCAGCUCCCAACAAGGCAUCCUCCAGGCCAAGGAUGUCUCAGGAUGCCUUGCAGUCAAAUCUAUCCAUUGGCAGAUGCCAUCCUACAAUUCGAAAAUAAAACCUAAAAAUUAUUUGUGUAAUUCAUUUGAAUUAAAAGCAUGACUCUUAGCAAUAACAGCAUAAAGAGAUUGGCUAUUACUUUUAAAACCUAUAUUUCAAUAAUGCUUUCACAUAUAUUGAUUUCAUUUGAUAUUCACAACAACACGAUGAGAUGACAGAGAAGACUGUGCAUUUCUUUUUUUUAAAUUAUACUUUAAGUUCUGGGAUACAUGUGCAGAACGUGCAGGUUUGUUACAUAGGUACACACGUGCCAUGGUGGUUUGCUGCACCCAUCAACCCAUCAUUUACAUUAGGUAUUUCUGCUAAUGCUAUCCCUCCCCUAGCCCCCAACCCCCGACAGGCCCCAGUGUGUAAUGUUCCCUUCCCUGUAUCCAUGUGUUCUCAUAGUUCAGCUCCCACUUACGAGUGAGAACAUGUGGUGUUUGGUUUUCGGUUCCCGUGUUAGUUUGCUGUGAAUGAUGGUUUCCAGCUUCAUCCAUGUCCCUGCAAAGGACAUGAACUCAUCCUUUUUCAUGGCUGCAUAGUAUUCCAUGGUGUGUAUAUAUAUGCCACAUUUUCUUUAUCCAGUCUAUCACUGAUGGGCAUCUGGGUUGGUUCCAAGUCUUUGCUAUUGUGAACAGUGCUGCAGUAAACAUACAUGUGCAUGUGUCUUUAUAGCAGAAUGAUUUAUAAGCCUUUGGGUAUACACCCAGUAAUGGAAUUCCUGGGUCAAAUGGUAAUUCUGGUUCUAGAUCCUUGAGGAAUCGCCACAUUGUCUUCCACAAUGGUUGAACUAAUUGACACUCCCACCAACAGUGUAAAAGUGCUCCUAUUUCUCUACAUCCUCUCCAGUAUCUGUUGUUUCCUGACUUUUUAAUGAUCACCAUUGUAACUGGCAUGAGAUGGAAUCUCAUUAUGGUUUUGAUUUGCAUUUCUCUAAUGACCAGUGAUGAUGAGCUUUUUUUCAUAUAUUUGUUGGACACAUAAAUGUCUUCUUUUGAGAAGUGUCUGUUCAUAUCCUUCACCCACUUUUUGAUGGGGUUGUUUUUUUCUUGUAAAUUUCUUUAAGUUCCUUGUAGAUUCUGGAUAUUAGCCCUUUGUCAGAUGGGUAGAUUUCUUCUACCAUUCCGUAGGUUGCCUGUUCACUCUGAUGAUAGUUUAUUUUGCUGUGUAGAAGCUCUUUAGUUUAAUUAGAUCCCAUUUAUCAAUUUUGGCUUUUGUUGCCAUUGCUUUUGGUGUUUUAGUCAUGAAGUCUUUGUGAAUGCCUAUGUCCUGAAUGGUAUUGCCUAGGUUUUCUUCUAGAGUUUUUAUGGUUUUAUGUGUUACAUUUAAGUCUUUAAUCCAUCUUGAGCUAAUUUUUGCAUAAGGUGUAAGGAAGGGAUCAAGUUUCAGUUUUCUGCAUAUGGCUAACCAGUUUUCCCAACACCAUUUAUUAAAUAGGGAUUCCUUUCCCCAUUGCUUGUUUUUGUCAGGUUUGUCAAAGAUCAGAUGGUUGUAGAUGUGUGGUGUUAUUUCUGAGGCCUCUGUUCUGUUCCAUCAGCCUAUAAAUCUGUUUUGGUAUCAGUACCAUGCUGUUUUGGUUGCUGUAGUCUUGUAGUAUAGUUUGAAGCCAGAAAGCAUGAUGCCUUCAGCUUUGUUCCUUUUGCUUAGGAUUGUUUUGGCUAUAGGAGCUCUGUUUUGGUUCCAUGUGAAAUUUAAAGUAGUUUUUUAUAAUUCUGUGAGUAAAGUCAAUGGUAGCUUCAUAGGGAUAGCAUUGAACUAUAAAUUACUUUGGGCAGUAUGGCCAUUUUCACAAUAUUGAUUCUUCCUAUCCAUGAGCAUGGAAUGUUUUUCCAUUUGUUUGUGUCCUCUCUUAUUUCUUUGAGCAGUGGUUUGUAGUUCUCCUUGAAGAGAUCCUUCACAUCCCUUGUAAGUUGUAUUCCUAGGUAUUUUAUUCUCUUUGCAGCAAUUGUAAAUGGGAGUUCACUCAUGAUUUGGCUUCCUUUUUGUCUAUUAUUUGUGUAUAGGAAUGCUUGUGAUUUUGCACAUUGAUUUUGCAUCUUGAGACUUUGCUGAAGUUGCUUAUCAGCUUAAGGAGAUUUGAGGCCGAGAUGAUGGGGUUUUCUAAAUAUACAAUCAUGUCAUCUGCAAACAGAGGCAAUUUGACUUCCUCUCUUCCUAUAUGAAUACCCUUUCUUUCUCUUGCCUGAUUGCUCUGGCCAGAACUUCCAAUACUAUGUUGAAUAGGAGUGGUGAGAGAGGGCAUCCUUGUCUCAUGCCGGUUUUCAAAGGGAAUGCUUCCAGCUUUUGCCCAUUCAGCGUGAUAUUGGCUUUGGGUUUUUCAUAAAUAGCUUUUAUUACUUUGAGAUAUGUUCCAUCAAUACCUUUAACAUCACACUGUCAAUAUUAGACAGAUCAAUGAGACAGAAAAUUAACAAGGAUAUUCAGGACUUGAACUCUGUUCAGGACCAAGCAGACCUUAUAGACAUCUACAGAACUCUCCACCCCAAAUCAACAGAAUAUACAUUCUUCUCAGCACCAUUUUGCACUUAUUCUAAAAUUGACCUCAUAAUUGGAAGUAAAACACUCCUCAGCAAAUGCAAAAGAACGGAAUUCAUAACAAACAGUCUCUCAGACCACAAUGCAAUCAAAUUAGAACUCAGGAUUAAGAAACUCACUCAAAACCACACAACUACAUGGAAACUGAACAACCUGCUCCUGAAUGACUACUGGAUAAAUAACAAAAUUAAAGUAGAAAUAAAUAAGUUAUUUGAAACCAAUGAGAACAAAGACACAACAUACCAGAAUCUCUGGGACACAGCUAAAGCAGUGUUUAGAGGGAAAUUUAUAGCACUAAAUGCCCACAGGAGAAAGCAGGGAAGAUCUAAAAUCGACACCCUAACAUCACAAUUAAAAGAACUACAGAAGCAAGGGCAAACAAAUUCAAAAGCUAGCAGAAGACAAGAAAUAACUAACAUCAGAGUAGAACUGAAGGAGAUAGAGAUAUACACAAAAAAAAAAACCUUCAAAAAAUCAAUGAAUCCAGGAGCUGGCUUUUUGAAAAGAUUAACAAAAUAGAUAGACGGCUAGCCAGACUAAUAAAGAAGAAAAGAGAGAAGAAUUGAAUAGACACAAUAAAAAAUGAUAAAGGGGAUAUCACCACUGAUCCCACAGAAAUGCAAACUACCAUCAGAGAAUACUAUUAACACCUCUACACAAAUAAACUAGAAAAUCUAGAAGAAAUGGAUAAAUUCCUGGACACAUACACCCUCCCAAUACUAAACCAGAAAGAAGUCAAAUCCCUGAAUAGAACAAUAACAAGUUCUGAAAUUGAGGCAGUAAUUAAUAGCCUACCAACCAAAAAAAGCCUGACCAGACAGAUUCACAGCCAGAUUCUACUAGAGGUACAAAGAGGAGCUGGUACCAUUCCUUCUGAAACUAUUCCAAAGAACAGAGUAAGAGGGAGUCCUCCUUAACUCAUUUUAUGAGGUCAGCAUCAUCCUGAUACCAAAACCUAGCAGAGACAAAACAAAAAAAGAGAAUUUUAGGCCAAUAUCCCUGAUGAAAAAUUGAUGUGAAAAUACUCAAUAAAAUGCUGGCAAACCGAAUCCAGCAGCACAUCAAAAAGCUUCUCCACCACAGUCAAGUCGGCUUCAUCCCUGGGAUGCAAUCCAUCACAUAAACAGAAUCAAUGACAAAAACCACAUCUCAAUAGAUAUAGAAAAGGCCUUCGAUAAAAUUCAACACCACUUCAUGCUAAAAACUCUCAAUUGUGUAUUUCUGCAUCUGUUUUAAAAAAGAAUCUUGAGGCUCUGAGAUUCUGAUCAGCUCAGUCACAGAGCUAGCAAGAGAGCUGGGAUUAGAGUCUACACCUUCAGAAGCCAAAAGCUGUGAUAUUUUCACCUACAUCACACUGCCUCUAAAGUGAGACAAGUAACAACAGGAGGAAAAGAACAACAGAAAGAACAAAAUUAAAAGGAUCAAUAUGAAAUGCUGAAACAUGUAAAUACUAACAGGGUAAUGGUAAUUUCCGAAAGCCUAAAGAGGAAAAUUCCACACCACAAUCCAAGAGAUCUGAUUAAGCAGGCUAUUUUGUCAUGUGAACAUACUCUUCUAUGGCAACCCACCACAGCUCACAUCUUUGCACCCAUUGUAUAGAAUGCCUGUGGGCACACACAAAUGGCUCGCAAAGACGACACUUAAAAAUAGCUGUGCUGCCCUCUACUGUUGAAAAAAGAGCAAGCAUGAAAACGGCAAUCAGAUUUGCUACUUAAGUUGUGUGUCUAAGCUGAUAAGUGAACAGCAGCAGAGUGCUACAAACACCAUUUCAUUAUCAUCAGUCAGUGGUUCAGUAGUAACUUUAGCAUUGAAAUAAAUAUUUUGACAUUAAUGAGAUCAAACAGUUGAUUUGGCUUAAUAAAGACAAUAUCAUAAUUGUUUAUUGUUGGUGCUAUCCUUGUUAGUUGGAUUGUAUGCUUAAAACUAGCUGAAUAGACAUGAAUAUUCAGUACUUAAAGCUUGUUUUCAGAUUCUUGUAAUGUCAGGGCUAAAUAAAACUUAAAGAUCACAUAGAGGUAAAUGGAUGUUUUACAUAUGACAACUCUGAUCCAUAGGCAGAAGCUGCCUGGAGAAAUGUGAAAAUAAGGAUUUUGAGACUCUAUUCAAGCUCAGUGACAAAGAAGAUUACAAUUGAUUAGUAAUGUCUUCCAAGUAAGAGAAAGUGAGAUAAUGCUAUACGUGCAACAUCCAUCUGUCCGUGGGCUAAAUUAGACUGCCAUCCCUAGGCUCGUCUGAUCACUUUACAGAUAGGGAAAUCAAGGCCCACUGAGACGAAAUUGCUUGUUAAAGAUCUCAUUGCUGCUGGAAAUUAGCCUGGGUCAAUCCUAUUACUGGGUAUAUACCCAGAGGGAUAUAAAGCACUCUACCAUAUAGACACAUGCACACAAAUGUUCAUUGUGGCACUGUUCACAAUAGCAAAGACAUGGAAUCAAUCUAAAUGCCCAUCAAUGACAGAUUGGAUAAAGAAAUUGUGGUACAUAUACACCAUGGAAUACUAUACAGCCAUAAAAAAUGAAAUCUUGUCUUUUGCAGGAACAUGGAUGGAGCUGGAGGCUAUUAUCCUCAGCAAAUGAAUGCAGGAACAAAAAACCAAAUACUGCAUGUUCUCACUUAUAAGUGGGAGCUAAAUGAUAAGAACUUAUGAACACAAAGAAGGAAACAUCAGACACUGGGGUCUAGUUGAGUGGGAAAGGUGGGAGGAGGGAGAGGAGCAGAAAAGAUAAUUAUUGGGUACUGGGUUUAAUUCCUGGGUGAUGAAAUAAUCUGUAUAAUAAACCCCCAUGACAUGAGUUUACCUAUGUAACAAACCUUCACAUGUACCCCGAACCUAAGAUGAAAGUUAAAAAAAAAAAUACCUGUAAUGUGAAAACCCUUUACUAGUGGGAUUAGUAUUCUUUGGGCAAUUAUCACCACUGUAGAAGUGGCUGUUAAUAGCAUUUUCCACUUGCUCUGUGCUGGGCACUGUACUAUAUUCUUUACCAACUAUUAUCUUAUUUAAUUAUCAAAGGCUCCUUUGGCGUUGGAUAUUAUUACCCUUGUUUUUUUUGUUUUGUCUUUUUUUUCUAAAAAAAUAAAGAAAUUAGGCUGGAUCAAGAAUUCAAGCAUCCUGUAUUCUGGAACAUUCUUCUUGCCAUUAGAUAUAAGUUUCUUAGCUAGACCUCCAGGAAUGGAGGACGAGACAUUUCAGCCCAAACUUUAUAAAGUAACAAGUGAUGUUCAUUCUCAAUACAGCUUUAAGAUAAUUCUUUACUGUCACCAAGGCACAUAUUUUCUUCUUUACAUAGACCAAAAGCCUUUGUGAAAGACAGGGCACAGGCAAAGCCUUUUCAUCUUACAAUUGAUCUUUUUGAUGAUUUGUUCAUAAAGAAAUAGAAUUUCCCAUUGUGGAGUCAUUUCCAUGGUUACCUAUUGAUUUCCUAUAGGAAGCAUGCUGUUUACACGGCCAUCAGGUCUUUAUUGUGGAGGGUAAAUCACCCUCUGAGUUUUCACUUUAUCUGCAACCUGAGGCAUGUAAAAAUGAGCUCUGCAAAAUUACCAGAACAAGAUAAAUAAAUGAUUCAUGUGAAUUGGUUUUGCAUGAAUAAGUGAUUAAUCCUCUCUUUCAACUUUGCUAUGAGAGAAUGCAGAAUUAAUGUAAUUCUAUGCAAACAGAAUCCACUUUUCUGAAUUCUGACCUAAUUGUAGGUAUUUGUGAGGCAAAAUACAUGUAAAAUUUCCUGUAGUUUUUAAAAAACUAAUGAUACUGCUACUGAAAAUCAGGAACCAAACUUCUCUUUAUAAACCUUAACUGCAGAUGCACACGGAUGAGAUUGUGAUUUACCCUAAAAGUUCCUUCAAAGCAUCUUGUAAUUUGGCAUUCCAAAGGUAUAUGACCUUAGUGUUCCAAAAUAGGUCUUAGAAUUGCUCACCAAAUAGCCUAGUCUUUAAACCAGAGUCCAUGUGGCAGCCUUAGCAGCCUGAAUUAAUUAGGCUCUUGGAAGAAACACACCUAGGACUCUGGAGUUUUCACAUAAUGAGAAAUCAGUAGACCAUUCAAUAAAUCAGUAGAACACUCAAGAGCCCACGAAAACAUCCACAAAAAUAAAAUCCCUUUAAUUGGGGACAUAAAAUAACAAUUCUAUUCUAUGAAGAUGUGUCUCAGCGUUACGCUAGAAGUUUAGGUCUCUUUCUCCAAGAGUAUUUCACCUGUAGUCAGGAACUUUAAACAUAAACCCAGACCAACCAAGUGAUUCUAUAAAAGUCACAAAAUAAGAAUACUAGGAAGAGGAGAUAAUCUUGGACUGGAAGAUAAGCAAAGAAGGCUUCUUGGUUUGUGCAAAAUUGCGGCUUUUGCCAUUACUUUCAAUGGCAAAAUAAAUUUUGGCAAAAAUUUUUUUAGGAGACUUGCAGAAGCAGUGAGAUUUGAAUAGAUAGAAAUAGAAAAUUAUAGUAGCUAACCAGUUAGCGAGCAUUUACCAUAGGACAGAUGCUCUGCCAAACCCUUUAUACUCUAUCUUAUCUUCAUAACUAUCCAAUGAGGUGAGUAAGUUAUUAUUCUCUUUUUUAUAGGUUAGAUCGAUGAGAUUAGGCCGGGCGUGGUGGCUCACGCCUGUAAUCCCAGCAUUUUGGGAGGCCGAGAUGGGCGGAUCUCCUGAGGUUGGGAAUUCGAGACCAGCCUGACCAACAUGGAGAAACCCCGUCUCUACUAAAAAUACAAAAUUAGCCUGGCAUGGUGGCGCAUGCCUGUAAUCCCAGCUACUUGGGAGGAUGAGGCAGGAGAAUUGCUUGAACCCGUGAGGCAAGGAUUAUGAUGAGCUGAGAUCACACCAUUGUACUCCAGCCUGCGCAACAAGAGCAAAACUUUGUCACACACACACAAAAAAAGGCUGAGGUGUUAAACAACUAGUGUAACAGGGCUAGUUCCAAUGAUUCCAAUACACACUGGCUCCUAAGUCUACAAUCAUAACUAAACCAUUUCAGUCAGAGAGAAAUAGGGACUAUAGUGGCAAGGAAGCAAAUCACAUAGCAAGAGGGUGACAGAGGUUAAAUCACUACAUCAACAGAGAGUGGUGUAGUAAAGGGAGGAAGGGCUGGGAAAACGGCAUGAGGGUGGAUUACAGAGAGCUCUGAAUGCCAUUCUUGGUAGGAUAAAAUGUGAGAACUGAACCCCAACUGAGAAGGUGCCAAUUAAUUCAGGUGGCACUGACCUGUGAGGCUGAGGAGGUCUUAAUCACCAGAACACAAAAUGCUCAUUAUCCAACCUUUUAAUUAGCAAAGAAACUACCCCGUCUGGAAAAGUUUUCAGCAAAGAACUAAGAUUUGAUCAUGCUGUUAAAGAAAAAAAAAAAGAAAAGAAAAAAACAAUCCUCUGAUCUCUCCCAGGCAACAAAUCUUGUAUUUCAGAUGUAUGUUUUCAUAUCUUCCAGGUCCCCAUUGGAGAGAAAAUGAGGGAAAGGAGGAACAGAUGGGACUAAAAGCAGAAGGCACCUGAUGAAAGAGAAAAAGCAAGGCUGGGGGAAGGGUGUUUAGAGAAGGACUGGGAGAACAAAAGCAAAGAAUCUGAAAUGAGAGCAUGCUUUCUUCCGUUCCCAUGAACUUCAGAAUGAGCACAUCUUUACUCAAAGCCUCCUCUGCUACUUAUAUGUGUGACCUUAGAUUAUAUGAACCUCUGGACUCUGGAGUAAGCAUGAAUUGGCUAACUGUAUUGCUCUAUUUAUGCCAUCUUUGCAACUAAAUACUGUGAUUAACUUGAAGUGUGGUUUCCAGAAAUUUCUUAUGAGGAAACAGAUAAAUAUGGAAAGAUGUAUGCCGAAAGAUGUUUACUGCAGCAAUGCCUAAGAUAAAGACUGAAAACAAUAUAAAUAUCCAUCAGGAGACGAUUGCUUAAGUAUAGUACAGUAACACACUGGACUAUCAUCCAGCCAAUAAGCAGAAAUCUCACUCUGUAGCCCAGGCUGGAAUGCAGUGGUGCGAUCUCAGCUCACCGCAACCUCUGCCUCCAGAGUUCAAGCAAUUCUCCUGCCUCAGCCUCUGAGUAGCUGGGACUACAGGCACACACCACCAUGCCCAGGUUCACCUGACACAAUAACUACUUUUGUAGACAAUACCCUUCAGAGAGCUUCAGCACUGCAAUCCUGCUCAGGUGGAAACUUAGUGAGUAAGAAGGAAGUGCCACAUAAAAGCAGCAGAUGGUAAAAUUCCCCGAAUACAGCAGGAUCUGAUUGUCCCAGAUAGCUGGCAUAUCUACAGACCAGACACAAGUUGGGGGGAAGAAAAGUUGCCCCCAUUAGUAGCAUUUUUAUGCGUAGGUGACAUUCUACAGGUAAGUUACAAGAGGGCAAAAAUAAAAAAUAACACAUCUUGUAAGGCACAGGCAUACACAUGAGGUAACUCCAAUUUGUUGCUGUGUGCUACCUGCAUGAGCUAUACCUCUUUUUGCCUUUUUCACAGAGAGAGGCAAAAGUGGCUGGUUAUGAAAACCGGCAGCACAGCCUUUUCCCUCCCUGUGGUAUCUUCCCAGAUAAGAAAGCAGGCCUGAAUCCCGGGUGCUGUUCUUCCAGACCACAUGAAAGGUACUGUCUCAGGCUCCUCAUCUGGAACUUUUAUGCUUUACAAAGAUGAUAAUAGUCCCUCAAAACCACCUACAAUGCUGAAUUAAAUAGCAUUCAAAGUAUACUAGGAGAAAAUUACAGUCAAGUUUGAGUCAACAGAUCUCUUAACCUGGUAACUUUUAGGAAACCACUUAAUUUCUGCAACUCAGUCAUCUUCCCUAUAAAAUGGGAAUAAUAAAACCUAUCUUGACUACUCUAAAGACUAGUAUUGAGAAGCAAAUGAGGUAAGAGACAUGAGAAAGAUUUAGAAAUUAUAAAAUUCAACAUAAAUACAAAUUAAUGAGGUACAUCUAUUAUGUCACCUGAUCUUUAUAACGUGACAAUUGUCCAAAUCAAAAUGGAGUCACUAAAGUUUUUUUUUGUUUGCUUGUUUGUUUGUUUGUUUUUAAAAAAAACCCUGAUAAAUAGAGCCACAGAAGUCCAUGAAGAGAGGAUUCUCAUAUUCGUAUACCUGAUAAGAAACACUAUCACAAUGACUGCAAAACACACAACCUUGUACAAAGACCAUUACAAACUUACACAAAAGAAUACCUUUGCAAGGACAUCUGCCCAGCAAUUGCCUGUCCAAUCUCAGACUGGUGUCACUCUUGUUAUUUAUCUUUGUAACCAAGGAUAAUUAUUUCAAAACAAUUAUGUAAUUCUCCUCAUUUUUUCCUUUAAAAACCUUUUCUUUCUCUUACCUCCCUGAGUACUCACAUGGGCACAGCAGUCUCAUUGCAGUGUAUUCUCAUGCACUAUUCCCAAAUAAAUAUUUUUUUCUUUUAGAAAGCCUCUCUCUGUUUGUUAUUUAGGCUGACAAUAACAACCCCAGGAAAUGGGUAAGUUAUUAUCCCUAUUUAUUGAUGGGUUUGGGGAGAAACAGAAAAGGAUCAGGCUAUUUGCUUAAAGUCCCUCAGCAAGUUGGCUCCCAAGGCAAGUCCAGUGCCCUUGCGUCCCAUCACCUCCUAGACCCUCCACCAGUGCUGGUUAUUCUCUCUGCUGUUUCCCCAGAAUCAUUCACUGCCCUUCUCCACAUCACAGGAGCUCCUGUCUCCUCUGACUUCAGGUUGGACUGGCUAAUAGAAAGACCAAAAGGUGGCAGGAGAGUGGAGUUGGGCAUUCGUUCCCUGGCUCUCCCCCUGCCUCAGCACUGUGGCUCUGACAAUGACUGGAUCCCUCUACAACUUCGACUCUUAUCUAGAGCCUUCUUCCACAGUGAUUCUGCAUAUCUGUUACAUUCUAAGGCCACUUCACAACACUACCAAACCCAGCUUUACAGUUUGGAAGACUGAGAGAAUCAUACCCAAAGCCACAAACAUCCAAAUAUGGUGUUCUUCACAAGAAACUAAUAAUGAACUUGAGACAGAGUCUGCAGGGAUAGGUAUCAGAAGUCAAGUCUAAAGUAUAUGAGGUCUAUGUUCAAACAGGAGCCUGGACAUGACUGAGAUAAAGAAUGAUUCCAGAGCUGGGCACACUGGCUUAUGCCUAUAAUUCCAGUGACUCAGGAGGCUGAGGCAAGAGGAUUGCUUGAGGCCAAGAGUCUGAGGCUAUAUUGAGCUAUGAUUGCACCACUACUGUCCAACCCGGGGGACACAGCAAGAGCUUGUCUCUUAAAAAAGAAAAAAAAAGAUUGAGUCCAGAGUUAGAGCUACAGGAUAAAAAGAAGUUAACUGAACUCAGGGGGAGAAAGGAGGGGAACCUACUCCAAAUUCUAGCUCAGGUCUUACCUAAAUGUGGGCUGGCUCAGCUCCCAAGUGGCUGAGUGAGGUCAUGACUGAGAAGAAAGGACCCCGGGCCCAAGUCGUGAGUUGAAUGACUCUUAGGUUGAGAAGCUUUCGUACCUAAGAAUCAAGUGGCCAGUGGUGCACCAUGGGAGAGAUGAUCACCAAACUUUUCUUCUCUUUGAGGUCACACACCUAGAUUACCUGCCCCAGUCUCCCUUGCAGUUAGAUCUGGCUGUGAGGUUGAGUUUUCGCCAGUGGGAUAAAGAUGGAAGUUUCCACUGGCCUAACCCAUAAAUUCCUCCACAACUCUUCCCACUUUUAAUCUUAUGCCCCCAUGUCGUCUCUUCUCCCAGCCUUCUUCGUCUCAGUAAAUGUCACUAGCACAUAUCCAGUCAUUCAAGGAAAAACACAAUGGAGAAAACCAUCCUCAACUACCCAUUCCCUUUACCUCACUCUUUCCCAGCAUCCUGCAAAAUCUGGCUCCAAAUAUAGCUCCAGUUUGUCCACUUCCCUCCCUCUUCUCCAGUCUAUAACCCUGGUUUACUCCAUCACCAUCUCUCAAAUACCCUCCCUCUUCUGCAGUCUAUAACCUUGGUUUACUCCAUCACCAUCUCUCAAAUACCCUCCCUCUUCUCCAGUCUAUAACCUUGGUUUACUCCAUCACCAUCUCUCAAAUACCCUCCCUCUUCUCCAGUCUAUAACCCUGGUUUACUCCAUCACCAUCUCUCAAAUACCCUCCCUCUUCUCCAGUCUAUAACCCUGGUUUACUCCAUCACCAUCUCUCAAAUACCCUCCCUCUUCUGCAGUCUAUAACCUUGGUUUACUCCAUCACCAUCUCUCAAAUACCCUCCCUCUUCUCCAGUCUAUAACCUUGGUUUACUCCAUCACCAUCUCUCAAAUACCCUCCCUCUUCUCCAGUCUAUAACCCUGGUUUACUCCAUCACCAUCUCUCAAAUACCCUCCCUCUUCUCCAGUCUAUAACCCUGGUUUACUCCAUCACCAUCUCUCAAAUACCCUCCCUUUUCUCCAGUCUAUAACCUUGGUUUACUCCAUCACCAUCUCUCAAAUACCCUCCCUUUUCUCCAGUCUAUAACCUUGGUUUACUCCAUCACCAUCCCUCAAAUAUCCUCCCUUUUCUCCAGUCUAUAACCUUGGUUUACUCCAUCACCAUCUCUCAAAUACCCUCCCUUUUCUCCAGUCUAUAACCUUGGUUUACUCCAUCACCAUCUCUCAAUUAGACUAUUGAAAUAAAAUCCUACCUGGAAUUUAAACUCUUAACUGUCUCUCUGUUUCUAUUCUCAUCCUCCAAUAGCCUAUUCUAUAUACCAUGGCAGAAUGAUCUUUCAAAUCACGAAUCCAGUUUUGUCACUUCACUGCUUGAAACUUUCCAGGAGGCUUCUCUUCCUUCGUAAUUAAAUAAAAUUUGAACCCUGAAUGUGGCCUAAACCCUACACAUUUUGCCUCACCAACCUCUGUCACCGCAUCUCUUACCACUAUCACCCUAGCUCACUGGGAUUUGUGCCACACCAAACUUCAAACACACCAAACGUAUUUCUGCCUUAUGAACUUUGAACUUGCUACUCCUUUUCACUCCCGGAACACUCCUGCCCCAGAUCUUUGCUGGUGCCUUUAUAUCUUUCAAGUCUCAGUUUAAAUAUCACCUCUUCCAAGAGACAUCCUUUGACUACCAUAUAUCAAAUAUCCCCUAAGCUCAUUAUUCUUUGUCACUGUACUCUGUUUUACUUUUGGAAUUAUUUGUUUUCUUUCAUGUUGUCAAUCUCCCUCUCUGAAUCUUUAGCUUCAUAAGAGCAGGGACCUUACCUAACUUCUUUAUUUCACUGCUAUAUCCCCAACAGUAUAAUCUUGGUCAUCUCAUUCCCCUUUCUAACCCUUAUUUUCUCCAUUUUUAAGAUGAUGACUUGGGAUUCGGUGCUUACAGGAGACUGGCUCUUGACAUUCUUUGCAUCCACAGUUCCAGGGAGGCUUUAGAGCUCAAUACUUUCCAGCCAGUGACAUUUCUAAAUGCAUUUUCCAAAUGAAGUCAAUGCCCUCGGGCAGCCCAGUGGGGAGGUCAUGGAUAGCCAGUGAGAAGGAAGUCUGGUGAGUUGGAUUACAUAGUUCCUUUGCUACACCAUUCCAGCCAUACUAAGGAGAUGCACCUCAUUAGGUACUAAAUGUUUAGUGACUGUCACUAUUAAUUGGUGGGGAUUAGUACUCAAAGGAGACAGUAAAUCUCAUGCUGUACUCAAUGACAUCAGCCCCUUGCAGUCAGACAAUGCACUGGGAGUUUGAAUCUAAAGCACUACAAAGAAAGAACCCAGAGACUAUCCCUUCUCUGCUUAUAAGAGUAAGUAUUGGUUGCCAAUUAUAUGGAGCAUCUCCUCAGUUACCAGGAUCUGUAUUAAAUAUCUUACAUGCUUUUAUCAUUUCAUCUUUACCUCGAUCCUAUGGCAUAGUUCCAAUAUUAUCCUCAUUUUAUGGAUGGGGAAACUUCCAAAUAGAGAGCAGAAGCACCUUGCCCAAGGUCACAGAGCUAAUAAUGAUGGAUCCUUUGAUUAGGGUCUGUUUCAUUCAGAAGCCUAUGAUCUUAGCUACUAAGUAAUAUUCCAUUUCCUAUAAUUAUCAUCUCACCAUAUGAUUACAAUUAUUUUUAUUCAAACCUUUUCCAUUCUUCAAGUCUGGGCUCAAAUGCUACUUUUUUUCACAAAGCUUUCUCUAACCCCCAGAAAGACCCAUACUCGCCAUCAGCAUUCUCUGCAUUGGUCAUAUAGAAUCAAUCACAUAGGGGAAGGAGACUCAGUAACAAACAUUUAAUAGCAUAUACGGUAUGCAGGCACUGUCACAGUCAAAAGCUUAUGUUAGUCUUACAACUACCCUGAGAAAAAUACAUUCAUAUCUGUUUUGAAAGGUAAAAUGCCUUGAGCAGAGUCUUAUGGCUCAAAGUGGCAGAACCAGAAUUUAAACCCAGGUCUGCUUGAUUGCAGAGCCCAAGACAUUUCCACAAACUUACUAUGAGCUCUUCAUUAUGCCCUUGGACUAAAUAAUUCCCCCUGUUAUAAGUCCUCAUAGCACCAUGUGCUUCUUUAUAGCCCCCACCCCAGUUAUAAUUUCAUCUAUGUUUGUGUGAUUAAUUUUAAUUUCCUUUUUUAGGCCCUAACUCCAUGUACAAAUGACCAUAUCUCUUUUUGCUCUACAAAAUCCCCAACACUUGACAAAUACAGUAGUCAUGGACCUUAUACAAGUAUAUUUGAAUAAAUGCACAAACCAUGUACAUUUCAUUGCAUACAUUUAAUACAUAAAUAGAGCCCUUCCCUGCUAGAUUCUAAUUUCUCUGAGGCAGGUUACCAACCUAAUUUAUUUCUGGAUCCCUCAUGAUGUUCUGCACUUCAUAGGAACUCAAUAAACAUUUACUGGAUA